GGUUACUGCUAUCGGUGUUCGCCUAAGCCAUGCGAGUCAUAUGUUCUUCGGAACAUGGCGUACUGCUCAGUAACACGUGGAUAACCUGCCCUUGGGUCCGGCAUAACCCCGGGAAACUGGGGAUAAUUCCGGAUAACGCACAUAUGCUGGAAUGCUUUAUGCGUCAAAUGGAUUCGUCCGCCCAAGGAUGGGUCUGCGGCCUAUCAGGUAGUAGUGGGUGUAAUGUACCUACUAGCCUACGACGGGUACGGGUUGUGAGAGCAAGAGCCCGGAGAUGGAUUCUGAGACAUGAAUCCAGGCCCUACGGGGCGCAGCAGGCGCGAAAACUUUACAAUGCGGGAAACCGUGAUAAGGGGACACCGAGUGCCAGCAUCAUAUGUUGGCUGUCCGGGUGUGUAAAAUACACCUGUUAGCAAGGGCCGGGCAAGACCGGUGCCAGCCGCCGCGGUAACACCGGCGGCCCGAGUGGUGAUCGUGAUUAUUGGGUCUAAAGGGUCCGUAGCCGGUUUGGUCAGUCCUCCGGGAAAUCUGACGGCUUAACCGUUAGGCUUUCGGGGGAUACUGCCAGACUUGGAACCGGGAGAGGUAAGAUGUACUACAGGGGUAGGAGUGAAAUCUUGUAAUCCCUGUGGGACCACCUGUGGCGAAGGCGUCUUACCAGAACGGGUUCGACGGUGAGGGACGAGAGCUGGGGGCACGAACCGGAUUAGAUACCCGGGUAGUCCCAGCCGUAAACGAUGCUCGCUAGGUGUCAGGCAUGGCGCGACCGUGUCUGGUGCCGCAGGGAAGCCGUGAAGCGAGCCACCUGGGAAGUACGGCCGCAAGGCUGAAACUUAA
rnacentral:rRNA from 1 species